AUACGGAGGGGGCGAGCGUUGUUCGGAUUUACUGGGCGUAAAGGGCGCGUAGGCGGCUGCACAUGUCAGGGGUGAAAGGCCUGGGCUCAACCUAGGAAUUGCCCUUGAAACUGUGCGGCUUGAGUCCGAGAGAGGAUGGCGGAAUUCCCAGUGUAGAGGUGAAAUUCGUAGAUAUUGGGAAGAACACCGGUGGCGAAGGCGGGCGACUGGACGACAACUGACGCUGAGGCACGAAAGCGUGGGGAGCAAACAGGAUUAGAAACCCCGGUAGUCC
rnacentral:rRNA from 1 species